UAGUCAGGGGUACAGUGGAUGCUGUAUAGUAACACUAGGUCCAGCCUGCACAAUCAUAUAGCCUAGUCAGGGGUACAGUGUAUGCUGUAUAGUAACACUAGGUCCAGCCUGCACAAUCAUAUAGCCUAGUCAGGGGUACAGUGGAUGCUGUAUAGUAACACUAGGUCCAGCCUGCACAAUCAUAUAGCCUAGUCAGGGGUACAGUGUAUGCUGUAUAGUAACACUAGGUCCAGCCUGCACAAUCAUAUAGCCUAGUCAGGGGUACAGUGUAUGCUGUAUAGUAACACUAGGUCCAGCCUGCACAAUCAUAUAGCCUAGUCAGGG